rnacentral:rRNA from 1 species
GAUGAACGCUGGCGGCGUGCCUAAUACAUGCAAGUCGAGCGAACAGACGAGGAGCUUGCUCCUCUGACGUUAGCGGCGGACGGGUGAGUAACACGUGGAUAACCUACCUAUAAGACUGGGAUAACUUCGGGAAACCGGAGCUAAUACCGGAUAAUAUAUUGAACCGCAUGGUUCAAUAGUGAAAGACGGUUUUGCUGUCACUUAUAGAUGGAUCCGCGCCGCAUUAGCUAGUUGGUAAGGUAACGGCUUACCAAGGCAACGAUGCGUAGCCGACCUGAGCGGGUGAUCGGCCACACUAGAACUGAGACACGGUCCAGACUCCUACGGGAGGCAGCAGUAGGGAAUGUUCCGCAAUGGGCGAAAGCCUGACGGAGCAACGCCGAGCGUGUGAUGAAGGUCUUCGGAGCGUAAAACUCUGUUAUUAGGGAAGAACAAAUGUGUAAGUAACUAUGCACGUAUUGACGGUACCUAAUCAGAAAGCCACGGCUAACUACGUG